rnacentral:lncRNA from 1 species
UUUCAAGUUGUUUCAAAAUGUUACUCACAUUAGAAUAAGUUAGUUCCUAGACCGGAUCAAACAUUUCUAAAUUUCUUCAACAGUCUAACCAAUUAAGCAUCAAGCUCGAUCGGUCCUUCAGUACUGUACUGACUAAAUAUCAAGAACAUGGUUCUCAUGUCUUCGUCGUUCCCGAGCUUCAUUCGGCUGAAACGCACAG